UAUUGAGAUGAUGAGCAUCUUUUCUGAAUCUAUGCUUGUUGACUUCUAAAUUCAGACUACAAUUAUCUGAUCAAUU
rfam:Cucumis melo, WGS project CAJI01000000 data, contig: 14696